UAAAACGGGAGCAGCCGCAAGAACCAUUUUUUGUCUUCCUUAAACCUAGAACAUGGGGGAUAAAAACCAGCCACCAACCUCAACUAAAACACCCAUUGGCUCUCCACCAUCACACCACCAUAACCCAUUAAAACCAAUUCGUGAGAACUCCAUUUUGAUAGCCAUGUGACCACCAAAAAUAAUCGCAAACCACCACUAUCACAGUUGGCCAGUCAUUGAAUUUAAGGUUGUGGUAGCUUCGAUCUGAACAAAAAAUGAUUGGUGAGGUGAGGUUUUCCGUUGACGAUUUCGACCUGAAGCUCUAAAGGGCUCGAGGUUGCUAUCACAUUGUACAAGAUCCAAAAUUGUGAACUUUUCUUCAAUUAAAGGUGAAUCAGCGGAAAAUAUUUUUGCUAUAUAAAAGAUCCAUCCCUUUUUUUCAAUUUUUGUUCAAGUACGCUUUUGGAGCGUUAAUGGCGAGGUGGCAUUUACACAUCUGGACCCAGACCUGUAGAGAAAAUAUUAGUAUAUCUCAAAAAGAGUUUGAAUUUUUUUCCUUACUUUCAUGCCUACAAUUAAUUAUGGUCAAUAAUGAUUGUUCCCCAAACGUUUCAUGCAAUUCAAUUUUAUCAAAUUAUUUGCCUUUAUGGCAAUAAUUAUUAUGA